rnacentral:rRNA from 1 species
UACGUAGGGGGCAAGCGUUGUCCGGAUUUAUUGGGCGUAAAGAGCUCGUAGGUGGUUUGGUAAGUCGGAUGUGAAAUCUCCAGGCUCAACCUGGAGGGGUCAUUCGAUACUGCCAUGACUAGAGGUCGGUAGGGGAGUGUGGAAUUCCUGGUGGAGCGGUGAAAUGCGCAGAUAUCAGGAGGAACACCGGUGGCGAAGGCGGCGUUCUGGACUGCAACUGACACUGAGGAACGAAAGCCAGGGGAGCAAACGGG